GCCCGGCUAGCUCAGUCGGUAGAGCGUGUGGACUCUUUAAUCCAACGGUCGUGGGUUCGAGCCCCACGUUGGGCG
rnacentral:tRNA from 1 species